GCCAUGCAUGGCUGUCCCAGAGCAGAGCCAGAUGUUCUUCAAGCAGAAGAAAUGAGGCAAGGCAGAUGUUGGCAAUCUCGGCAGUGCGGGAGUCCAAUUCUCUUUUUCCACUCGCUUGAGACAAAAGAGGAAAUCAGUGUUGGAUUUCAUCUCCUCGUGUGCAGGGGGGUUGACGGGGUGUAUCAGGUCCUCAGCUAAUACAAGCCAGCGUACGGCCUCCGGUUUGCAGCACACUUGAGAGCCAGCCCAGCCAUCAGCUCCUCCAACCACAAAAGCUGCCAGGAUGACCUAAGCCAUCUUCCUUCCCCUCCAAGCAUGCGAAGGAAGCUAUUUUUGCCCACCAUCACCUGCCCCAGACCCUGGUGGGAUCCCAGCCUCCAACAACCACACAUCAGGCUCAGCAGGUCUCCGAGGAGGACAGGAGAGAAGACUCCUGCCAACAUUACGUAGCAGGGCUAUACCGCAUUUCACAUGAGGAUUUGUAAUCAUCUCUCACAAGGGACUGACAAGCGAGAAAUGGACUCCGGCAACUACCAGGAUGCCAGCGAUACUCUUGCCCCAGAGCCAUGGUCUAUGAGCACCAGCCAGGGAGGAGUGCUCACCGCAUGUGACCACAGGCUCCAGAGGUAGAAAUGUGGGAGAUGAAGAAGAUUGUAAAGGACCAGGCUGAAUCUGAGGAAAAUUCAUCAGCACCUUCCCCAGGACCUUGGAGGACACAGCCAGCUCCUGCACGGUCCCACCAUCCCACGAUGGAAGCUGUUUCCCACACCAAGUAGGUGGCACAAAGGGGACCUUUUCAUCACAUCUUCAAGCUGCCCCAAGACCCCUGUGGGCUCACGGAUGGGCACAGAAAGAGGAAGAUGUACACCUGGAACACCCAGGUGGGUCAGCUUUCCUGGCUCUGGCAGAAGAAACAGGUAUAUUGGGGUGGCUUUUGUGUGUGUCCCAUGUCCUCAUGCCCGGUCACUGCCACCCUCCUCCAAACCUCUCCUAGAGAGCAGCACCCAGGCUGUGCCCCGGGGCUCUCAGCCAUGGGAUGGGUUUUGGCCAUUUCUCCCAUAGUCGUAGAGGACAAGAGCUUUUGAUAGAAUUUAGCUCCAAAAAGAUGUGCCUACACACAUCAGGGGCUAUCUUAUCAUGUCCAAGCUGCUCUGUACCCCUAAUUGUAGAGAUCCUGCUUUUAAAUCUUAUUUUUCUUGCCUGUCUCUCUGUUGGAAACCACAUUUUUCUUUUAUAUGUAUAUAAUACCUUCUAAAAUCUGUCCCUACAUCUAAAAAAUUGCACACAGUAAUGCACAGAGAUCCAGGACUGAAAGCAUUUCAUUCGUGACUGUCCUUUACGGAGCCAGCGGGGUCAGAGGAAAAGAAAAACAACACACACAUGAUCAAUAUUUUUUAAAAUAGGAUUUGAAAGUAAAGCAAGAGAAGCCUCUAUCUGGUUUUAAUUUCAGAUGAAAAAAUAUGGUUAUUAAUAUACAGCAAUGCUACUCU